AAACUUACCUGGCACAGGAGACACCGUGAUCACGAAGGCGGUUUUCCCGGAACGAGACCCAGCCAUUGCACCUGGGAUGGGUUGACUUCUGCGAUUACCCCUAAUGUGGGUAACUCGGGUGCAUCAUUUUUGAUAGUGGGGGAACUGCGUUCGCGCUAUUUCCCU
rnacentral:snRNA from 1 species